rnacentral:rRNA from 1 species
CGGAGGAUCCAAGCGUUAUCCGGAUUUAUUGGGUUUAAAGGGUGCGUAGGCGGCCUGUUAAGUCAGGGGUGAAAGACGGUAGCUCAACUAUCGCAGUGCCCUUGAUACUGAUGGGCUUGAAUGGACUAGAGGUAGGCGGAAUGAGACAAGUAGCGGUGAAAUGCAUAGAUAUGUCUCAGAACACCGAUUGCGAAGGCAGCUUACUAUGGUCUUAUUGACGCUGAGGCACGAAAGCGUGGGGAUCAAACAGGAUUAGAUACCCUGGUAGUCCACGCCCUAAACGAUGAACACUCGCUGUUGGCGAUACACAGUCAGCGGCUAAGCGAAAGCGUUAAGUGUUCCACCUGGGGAGUACGCUCGCAAGAGUG